rnacentral:rRNA from 2 species
UGGCCAGUACAGAGGGCUGCGAAGCCGUAAGGUGGAGCGAAUCCCUUAAAGCUGGUCUCAGUUCGGAUUGGGGUCUGCAACUCGACCCCAUGAAGUCGGAGUCGCUAGUAAUCGCAGAUCAGCAACGCUGCGGUGAAUACGUUCCCGGGCCUUGUACACACCGCCCGUCAUGUCAUGAAAGUCGGUAACACCCGAAGCCAGUGGCCUAACCUUUUGGAGGGAGCUGUCGAAGGUGGGAUCGGCGAUUGGGACGAAGUCGUAACAAGGUAGCCGUACCGGAAGGUGCG